rnacentral:lncRNA from 1 species
GUCCUCUGGAUGCUGCUGGAGUCUGACUUCUAGUAGGCAGAUGGUGUUUGGAUACCUACCUCAGAUGAGAGUAGGGCACAGCAGGGAUUAGUAGAGAUAACAGCUAAAGCCAAACAGCACUGCACACUACUUAAACCUGUGCACACAGACACACUGUAGCAUGGCCUUUUCCAUGCCUUGCAGUGUCAGCUCUGUUGGUCUGGGCUGGAUCUCUGCAGCCACAAAUGACAUCUGCAUCUUCUAGCAGUUCAAGGGGGCAUGGCAUUCAUAUCAGCAAAGAGAUGCCUCACAGAGAGACCCUGGUGGACUAGAGGGCUGGACAAUCACCACUGUAUGAAGUUUAACAAGAGCUGGAUUCUACACCCGGGAAGGGGCAACCCUGGCUAUACAUAAAGACUGGGGGAUGUGAGGCUGGAGAGUAUACAUUAUAAUAAUAAUAAUUAUUAGAGAGUAUACAAGAGAUAGCUACAAAGAUAGUGAAGGGUCUGGAGGACAAGACAUGUGAGGAGCAGCUGAGGUCCCUUGGUUUGCUCAGCCCAGAGCAGAGCAGGCUGAGGGGAGGCCUCAUGGCGGCCUGCAGCUUCCUCAUGAGGGGAGCGGAGGGGCAGGUGCUGAGCUCUGCUCUCUGGGGA